UCAACUAGCCUACCUGGUUAAAUAAAGGUGAAAAAAAAAAAAAAAAAAUGACAAGGAAAUCAUAUGAAACGUUAUGUGAAUAAUGCAUUGUGAAAAGCCAAUACUAGGACGUAAUAUAUGUCAAUUGUAUGAUUUGGUGCAGUGAACAAGUGACGUUGAAUAUGUUUAUUGUACUCAGUCAAUUAAAUGUUAUUGUUUUGAAACAUGUCCCAUGUUGAUCUGUUUUAUGUGCUAAUAGUUGUGAAAAUGUACCACAUACUUGUAACAUAUUGCACCAGUGAUUGAAAAGGAAAAACGGUAAUUAAACAUCCCGGGAGACCAGGAGCAUGCUUUUGUAUGUUACUCAAUCCCAUUGAUAUCCUACUAUAGUAUAACUUGUCGCUCUGUUUGCCAAAAUGAAUACGUUUACAGUGUAUGGUAACACUUUAUUUUGAUAGUCUACAGACUAUCAUUAACAUUGCAACUAAUUAUCUACUAACCUUAACACUUAUUCUAAACCUUAACCGUAACUGUAGCAUGCAGUUGCUUUAUAAACAGUCAUACUAUUAAUAAACUCGGCGCAUCUACAGAUGGAAAAUCCGGAGUAUCCUAAAAACCUCUUCGAGGUUGAAGAGGCGCUAUUGUGCCUUCACCACACUGUUUAUGAGGGUGGAUCAUUUCAGAUUGUCUGAUGUGUACCCCGAGGAACUUCUCCACUGCAAUCCCGUCAAAGUGGAUGGGGGCGUGCUCCCUCUGUCUCCUAAAGUCCACGAUCAGCCUUUCGUUUUGUUGACAUUGAGGGAGAGGUUAUUUUCCUGGCACAGCUGUAUACUUCUCUUGGAAUUCAAGAGUCAAUGCAAUUCACACUGCAUUAUAAUGGUCUACUUGUCUACUAAUACAGUCAAACUAAAACCUUAGGCAAAAACUCAUCAUGUACCAAAAGUAAUUACAACCAACUCUGUGGUAAUAAAGAGUCUUGCUGUGAACAGUUUAACAGACCAAUCUAAAGACACUACACACAGAUGAAAUGGGAGACCACGACCAGAACAUUCCUUUUGAUCUUUCCCGUGAGCAGUGGCAGUCUUCCUUAAUAAAGUAGAAUCUGGGUCAGCCAAUGCGUGAGACUUCUCUCUGCACAAAAACAAAACUGAAACUAUAGAAGUGCAAACGAGCCGUCGUGUGGCAACGUGCCCACAAAAGCCGGGGACUUGGUUAGAGGCAGUACAGGGGUCGUUUUCAAUAAGCACCAAACAGAAUAAAAAUGGACAAACGGUAAGGGAAUACGCAACUUGUCCUAUAAGAAACUAAUGUUUUUAGUUUUCCAUUGAAAAUGGGAUGUCUGCUACGGUCCGCAACAAUAAAUACGACCAGUACUUGCAUAGGUUACAACAGAUCUACCGAACUCUCUUCCUGGAGAUCUACCAUCCUGUGGGUAUUCAGUCCGAACAUAUGAGUCAGCUAGUUGAGAUUCAUGUUCCAGGCCCUGACCAAAUUGCAGAUAAUGCAUUGCAUCAACCAAUAGUUGCAUAGCACGUAAUUAGAAUGCCACGUCAUCGACUGCGCAGUCCGGGCAUUAGAUUUCUAUACUGCUCCGCUAUAUCAUGUGGGUGGCAUUCCUGCCUGACUACAUUGCAGACACCUAUCAGAUCUCAAAUCAAAUGUUAUUGGUCACAUUCACAUAGUUAGCAGAUGUUAUUGCUUCUAGUUCUGACAGUGCAGUAAUAUCUAACAAGUAAUCUAACAAGAAUAUGUACAUAUAAUAUGUACAUAUAAAUAUAUGGAUGAGCAAUGACCAAAUUGAAACAUAUAUGGAAAUGUGAAUGAAAACUUCUCAGCUAGCAGGCUCAAGCUAAAACCCACAUGGCAGCAAAAACUAACAAGCAGACAUUGUUAACAAGUUAGAAAUGAUUUAAACACACUUUGCUGUAGGCUACUAUUUACUAGUUAACAAAAAAUAAUGUAUGUCAUAAAAUAUAUUCACCCCACCCAGUAUUAUAAUCAAAAUUUACCAGAAAGCAUGUAGUCCUUGGCUCAGACAGUGUAGUAGUGUGGGCUCAAUAGCAUCUCAUUAGUGUGCAAGAUCUUGAGAAUCAGCUGCACAUGUGAUGGAAGAGUGCACUGUGCAUGCAGAGAGUUGCAAUUCCAUUGAAUUGGGGAAAGUUUAACCAAAAUAUGACCUCGAAUUGCCUUAUGAGUAUCCCACAAAAAAGGUUCACAGUUAUAAGUUAACUUUUUUGAUGAAUUUAAGCAAAAUUCCCCAAAUUCCCGGGCUUAACUACCCAUUUAUUUAUUUAUUUUACCUUUAUUUAACCAGGUAGGCAAGUUGAGAACAAGUUCUCAUUUACAAUUGCGACCUGGCCAAGAUAAAGCAAAGCAGUUCGACAGAUACAACGACACAGAGUUACACAUGGAGUAAAACAAACAUACAGUCAAUAAUACAGUAUAAACAAGUCUAUAUACAAUGUGAGCAAAUGAGGUGAGAAGGGAGGUAAAGGCAAAAAAGGCCAUGGUGGCAAAGUAAAUACAAUAUAGCAAGUAAAACAAAUUCCGGAAGUUUACCGGAAAGUUUCCGACCCUUUGCAACCCUAGUGGCCAAUGAUUUCAAGUCUGUGUAGGCAGCAGCCUCUCUGUGUUAGUGAUGGCUGUUUAACAGUCUGAUGGCCUUGAGAGAGAAGCUAUUUUUCAGUCUCGGCCUCAGCUUUGAUGCACUUGUACUGACCUCCCCUUCUGGAGUAGCAGGGUGAAUAGGCAGUGGCUCGGGUGGUUGUGAUCUUUUUGGCCUUCAAGUGACAUCGGGUGCUGUAGGUGUCCUGGAGGGCAAGUAGUUUGCCCCCGAUGAUGCGUUGUGCAGACCUCACAACCCUCUGGAGAGCCCUGCGGUUGUGGGUGGUGCAGUUGCCGUACCAGGCGGAUACAGCCCGACAGGAUGCUCUUAAUUGUGCAAGCUUGGAUAGGUGUUUAACAUAUCAGCUAACCACCCAAUAUGAUAUAGGAAUGUAAUGACUGACAGUCAAUAAUGUGACGCACAACCAUUGGUUGAUGCAAUGCAACGUCUUCAACGUAAUCAGGCAGGAACACCACCAGUAUGUGGCUAGGUGAUUUGUUCAACACUUGCCUCCAGCCCAUCUGUAAAUAGCCCAUCCAACUACCUCAUCCCCAUAUUGUUUUUUGCUCCUUUGCACACCGCAUCUCUCUUUGCACAUUCAUCUUCUGCACAUCUAUCACUCCAGUGUUUAAUUGCUAAAUUGUAACUAUUUCACCACUACGGCCUAGUUAUUGUCCUUACCGCCCUAAUCUUACCUCAUUUGCACACACUGUAUAUAGACCAUUUCUAUUGUGUUAUUGACUGUACGUUUGUUUAUUCCAUGUGUAACUCUGUUGUUGUCGCCCUGCUUUGAUUUAUCUUGGCCAGGUUGCAGUUGUAAAUGAGAACUUGUUCUCAACUGGCCUACGUGGUGAAAUAAAAUCUUGAUGUAUUUAUCACUGUAAAAAACAGUCUCCAAAUGCAUUUGUAGGUAGCUAGCUAACAGCCAUGGAGGAGGGUGAAAGGAUAGCAGCCCUAACUGUCAAAGUGAGAGAGUAGGCUAUUCUGGAUAGGGUAGGUACUUUUGUGUAGUUCCUGUCCCUAGUAGUGAGGACGGAGAUAAUAGUAACAUAAUAUUCUGUGCGGUGUAAUUAGAAUAUAAUGAAGUCUGUUUCUUGUGAGGUUUUCUGUCCUCAGAUAAAGAGAGCUAUGAAAGCCAGUCUACAUAUAAAGAGGUCCCAAUGAAGAGCAGUGGUUCUUAGUCCUGGGGAAUUAAAGGGUGCACGUGUUUGUUUUUGCCUUAACACUGCACAGCUGAUUCAAAUGAUCAACUCAUCAUCAAGCUUCAAGUGAUACCUUCUAACGGGAGAUUCCUUCAAAUCGAUUGCCUACAGAUAACGUGUAGGGCACUGCAAGGUUGGGUGACCAGGGCCAUCUGGGACUGCCUCCUGGAGGAACUCAGGUGUGUCAGUGCUACCUUUGUCCUGCAUAACUUCAUGAGGAUGGACACGAGGACCAGGAGGGGAUCUGCAGCUCGCCGCCGCGUGCCAGAGGAGAAGUCUGCUGCUCUGCAGGAUGUUUCAAGGAUGGGGUCCAACAACGCAGCAAGAGAGGCAAUCCGUGUGCGGGAGAUCUUCACCUCCUACUUCUUUCGAAGAGGGUGCUGUUCCCUGGCAACACCAUAGACUACACUAUGCACAAAGGCUCUUUUAAGAGCCAUUCACAUUGCAACAAGAGUAUUCUUCCUUUUACUUAGCUAUGUCAACUACAGUUACUCAAUUCCCAGUUUGUCUAGAUAGCUAGCUACACAUCCAUAGGCAUACAGGUAUUGUUAUCCUCCACUGCCCAAUAAACAAGAACAUAUGUUAUUUCAUCUAUCUGCAUUGCAUGGCAAAUAUCAGCAAGGCAAGCUUACAAAAUUGUACAUUCAAUUUGCAGUAAAUACUUUAGCUGGCUAGAUUAUUUACAUCCACUGUUUCACAGGAGGACAGCCUGGAUUGCUGGUUGUUUCAGGAGUCCCUAAAACAUUCAACAUGAGUUACAAUGUAAUACUCAUGUCACAACACCCAUCAAGCUAGCCAGCUAGCUUGCUAAAUCCUGAUUUUUGUAAAUUAACUUUGUGAUUAAAAAAAAAUAUGCAUACCCAUGUCUCUACAGAAACUAACAUAUUCCUGUCAGCUGUACAUUUUUUUGCAUGAUUAUUUAUGACAUCACUUUUGCUUUCCAUCCUAGUAUUUUUGUCAGCCAUCUUUGCUGAAAAAAAGUCUCCAGCUUUGGGUGGCAUAGCAUCAAAUUCGUCAUGGGAACCACUCGAUAUGAUUGGCGAUCGCCGCUGGUGAUUUGCAUGAACUUUGGAAAAGUUUAUAUUUAUCACCGCCUCCCACGCCAACUUCGCACCGCCCAAAGGUCUCCCGCUUGCCAUUCAUUUCGAUGGUGGCGGUUUCCUGUGCUAGUGUAUCAUGCCAGUCAGUCAAGCUGAGCCACGAAUUGCCGGAGCUCGUUCAGAGACAUGAUCAUACCUGCAUCUGGAAGCAAGUGUGGCCCUGCAGAGUACAAAUCUAACACUGGUCAGUGCUGUCCAAUGUGUGGAAAGGGUUUGGUUGUCCGCAAGGACUGUACAUUGGUGUCCAGCACGUCCUGCAUACCCUGUACAGGACAGACCUACAUGAAUACAGCUAACGGCUUGGACAAGUGCUUUCCCUGCAGUCCUUGUGAUCCAGGACAAGGUCUGUACAUUUUGAUGACGUGUACUACUACAAGUAACUCUAUUUGUCAUGUUAUGAAUGGAUAUUAUUGUACCAGCUCCUCAGCUGGCAACGAGUGCACCUUUGCGCUAAGACAUACACUUUGCUCACCUGGACAGAGAGUUAAAGUACCGGGAACAAAGACAACAGAUACCAUGUGUGAGGAGUGUCAGCAUGGUUCUUACUCACAACAUGGUGUGAACUGCACUGCUUGGACUGAUUGUAAAGCCAUUGGACAAUACAAGAUUGAAGAUGGAAGUCAAACAAGAGAUGUUGUUUGCGGAAAAUCUGCGGAAUCACUAAGGAAUAGAGUCAUUGUCUUAGUUCCAUCUUCAGUUUUCCUUUUUGUAGCUUUUAUUUUUGUCUUGUUUGUAACUAAAGGUUAGUCUUUUUCGUUCGUUAUUGUUCGGUUCCUUCUGCAUGUCUGUGUUCUACAUAAUUAAGUUAAUGAGUGGGUUUUGCUUCGCUCCUAACAAUCGGAUAACUUUUGAUUUGCUUUCAGGUAAAGAAACUAAAGGUUAGUUUAACAUGUUUUACCCUUCUCCCUACAUACUGUACAUUACUGGCCCUCUCACACUUUUCUAACAAUGUAUUACUUAUAGAUCUAGGCUAUUAACUUUGCAUCACUUUGUUAACCCAAUUCAUUUUGCUAUGUUUUCAGAAAAUCAAGAAAUUCAAGAAAAGCUUCCUGUAGAGGAAACGGGUUUUCACGAACGUUCACUAGUGGCGGUCGAAGAGCUUCACAGUGAAACUAUACCUCGACUGUGACAACUGGCCAAGGACGACAGAGCAAGGACUGACAAGGAAUAUUUCCCACAUUUUGUUACAUUACAGCCUCAUUUCUAAAAUGGAUUCAGAUGUUAGACAUUUUUGCAAAUGUAUAAAAUAAAAACCUGGAAAUUUUCACAAGUAUUCAGACCCUUUUACUCAGUACUUUGUUGAAGCACAUUUGGCAGCUAUUGCAGCCUUGAGUCUUCUUGGGUAUGACACUACAAUCUGUAGUGUCACUUAAAAAUCAUACAAUGUGAUUUUCUGGAUUUUGUUUUAGAUUCCGUCUCUCACGGUUGAAGUGUACCUAUGGUUAAAAAAAAAUUACAGACCUCUACAUGCUUUGUAAGUAGGAAAACCUGCAAAAUCGGCAGUGUAUCAAAUACUUGUUCUCCCCACUGUAUAUUUAAUACAUUUGCAAACAUUUCAUUUGCCAUUAUGGGGUAUUGUGUGAAGAUGAGGAUAAAACAAUUCUAUACAUUUUCAAAUAAGGCUAUAAUGUAACAAAAUGUGGGAAAAUAUUUUCAGAAGGCACUGCAUGUUUCCAUUAACUUGUCCAGUGAUAAUUUUUUGGGGUUGACAUUUAGAAAGUAGAUGUGACAAUUGCUUGCUACAGUGUGUUUCCAUUGAACUGUCAUGUCGAUAAAAACAGCUGGACGUAAUGACAUCACAUCUUUCGCUAAAACCUCGAAUGACUAAUAAAAAACAGUGGUUCCAUUAUCCAUUUAA